GGGGCGGAAGUGGCCGGGGUUCCGGGGCCGGGCUGAGGGCCUGCUGCGGGCCUCGGCAGCUGCGAGGCUGUCGCCGCGGGCGGCGCGUCUCCCCGGAGCCGACUCCCGCGGCACCGAGUCUUUGCGGGUCGGGACCCUGGGGGCCGCACUGCGCUGGGCUCAGGUUGAGUACACCGUCACAUCCUAGCCACCAGCAUGUCUAUUGGUUUUACCUCCCAGAUGUCUUGACUUUGCUUCUCUGUCACCACAUUGAUCUAAGUCUCUUAUCUCCUGCUUGGACCACGACCCUCAGUCUUCUGGGAGGGAGUGUGAAGAUGCUUAAAGAGUGUCCAGGGAUGGCAGAAGAUCGUCAGCAGCAAAUGGGUGUCCCUGUGGUAAAACUGGAGAAAGAGUUGCCGUGGGGCAGGGCGAGGGAAGGCCCCAGCCCGGAGACUUUUCGCCUGAGGUUUCGGCAGUUCCGCUACCAGGAGGCGGCUGGUCCCCAGGAGGCCCUCAGGGAGCUCCAGGAGCUCUGUCGCCAGUGGCUGCGCCCCGAGCUGCACACCAAGGAGCAGAUCCUGGAGCUGCUCGUGCUGGAGCAGUUCCUGACCAUCCUGCCCCGGGAGUUCUACGCCUGGAUUCGGGAGCACAGCCCGGAGAGCGGCAAAGCCCUUGUGGCCGUGGUGGAGGGCUUCACGGAGGGAGCCCUGGAGGCCAAGGCGGUUCCGUGCCGUGUGCAGGGAGAGCAGGAGGAGACAGCACUUUGCAGAGGUCCUUGGGAGCCAAGUGUCCACCUGGGACCCGUGGAGGUCAAGCCCGAGUGGGGGCUGCCCCAUGGGGAAGGAAUUCAAGGCCUCGACCAAGGCACUGAGGAGCAGCUCAACCAGGAUCCUGGAGAGGGGACACAGGCCUUCCAGGAGCAGGCUCUGCCAGUUCUUCCGGCUGGUCCUGGCCUCCCUGCAGUGAGCACCAGAGACCAAGAGAUGGCAGUGGGGUUCCUUACAGCUGGAUCCCAGGGGUUGGGCCCAUUUAAAGACAUGGCCCUGGCUUUCCCCGAGGAGGAGUGGAGGCACGUGACCCCAGCCCAGAUAGACUGCCUUGGGGAGUACGUGGAGCCCCAGGACUGCGGGGUCUCACCUCCAGGCCUGGGGAGCAAGGAAAAGGAGGCGAAGACCCAGCCGGCAGACCCCAAGGGGCCGCUUGCUCGGGGGCCGGCAGAGAGGUUUGGGGAAGCCUCUCUCCAGGUCCCGGAGUUCGGAAGAACCUGUGAGCAGGAGGCCGGGAGCUCGGUGGGGAACGCGCCCGGGCUGCCCCCUCCCCAGCGCGGCAUUGUCCCCCUGCCUGAUGACCUCAAGACCCACAGCUCCUUCUGGAAGCCUUUCCAGUGCCCCGAGUGCGGAAAAGGCUUCAGUCGGAGCUCAAAUCUGGUCAGACACCAGCGGACCCACGAAGAAGACAAGUCCUACGGCUGCGGGGAGUGCGGGAAAGGCUUCGCGCUGCGUGAGUACCUCCUGAAGCACCAGCGGACCCACCUGGGCAGGCGGCCAUACGCGUGCGGCGAGUGCUGGAAGACCUUCAGCCAGCGGCACCACCUGGAGGUCCACCAGAGGAGCCACACGGGCGAGAAGCCCUUCCAGUGCGGGGACUGCUGGAAGAGCUUCAGCCGCCGGCAGCACCUGCAGGUGCACCGGCGGACGCACACCGGGGAGAAGCCCUACACCUGCGAGUGCGGCAAGCGCUUCAGCAGGAAUGCCAACCUGGCCGUGCACCGGCGGGCCCACACCGGGGAGAAGCCCUACGGCUGCCAGGUGUGCGGGAAGCGGUUCAGCAAGGGGGAGCGCCUGGUCAGGCACCAGAGGAUCCACACUGGGGAGAAGCCCUAUUGCUGCCCUGCCUGCGGCCGGAGCUUCAACCAGCGGUCCAUCCUCAACCGGCACCAGAAGACACAGCAUCGCCAGGAGACCCCAGGGCAGUGAGGGCGCCCGGCCGAAAUGCCCGUCUUUUGCUCACAGAAGGUGCCGGAGAAGGUGGGGCCUUCUGGAACCACCAGGCGGAGGGGGACCUCAUUGGAGGAUGCGCCCCCCUUUACUCACUGAAGGGUUGGGGGCGUCGAGGGACGUUGGGGGCAGAGAGGCGCUUUCACCCAUUUUCUUUCCACUCGUCUUACACAUAGGGGAAGGGAGAGGCCUGGUUUAUUUGAGAGGCCAGAGGGCACAGCAUCUCACGUCUCCUACCCAAGUGGUGCUCGUACUUUCUCUUACCCUUUUUGAGGAAGCAGUAUCCGGAGUUUCAGUUCAGGUCCUUCAGUGGAUGUUCACGUCCACCUCCUGAGCGAGUCUGGUUGUCAAGAUAUUUAUUUGCUAAAUAACACCUACUGUGCGCCUGGUUCUGGGAGUGCCGUGAACAAGACAGACGAGACCUCAUUCCCCUGGAGCUUGUGAUUGGGCCCUGGAAGCAGACUCGUUAAUGACGCAGAGCACCCUCAGUUCCCUUCACAGCCAGUGCCGAGAGAGAGGAAGUCCUCUCAGGCUCAUUCUGCGCUCCUUCUGCCCUGCCCCUCCAGGUGCCUGAUCUUUUCCUCCCAGCUGGGGUCGCUCAGGCAGCCUCCUUUAUUUUACUUUAUUUGCGGCCCCCUUUGUCUCUGUGACAGUCUACUCGUUGGUGGUUUCCCCAUUCCAUUAUUCCUUGAACAAUAACAACUGUCCACACAUCUGUUAGGAAAUUAAUAUUUUGCUUUUGAUCAGUGUAUAAACAUGAGAGUAUUUUAAACAAACAUCCAGGUCUGUAUAAAAUUCUAAUUAAAUGGGGCCGAAAGAUGAACUAGUAUUAAUACCCUGUAUUUGAUGGCACUUUACAGUAUAUAAAAUGUGCUGCUUCCCUGUUUUCUCACUUGACUCGUUCCACAAAUAUUUAUUGAGGCCCGACAGUGUGCCAGGAACUCUUCUAGGUGCUUGAAGUACAUCAAUGAAUAAAAUAGGCAGGGUGUGGAGGUGGGGUGGGAAAUCCCUGUCCUCGUGGAGCUUACGUGUUGGUCAAUGUAUUUGAUCUUCAGAACCACCCAAAGUGGAACCCGUGGCUGUUCCCCGGGACCCUUUGGACCUGGCAUCUGAGCCUGUGCCUCAGUCCUGUCAGCUGGCCCUGAAAUGCAUUCGCCACCACCUACCUCUUGUUCCUGAAUCAUCUCCGUCCUCAGUGCGUCUCGGUCCUUGUCAUCUGAGAGGUACUUGGGGUCCUCAGGGCCACCUGGAGAUGAUGAGACGGUAGCAGUCUGUUUUGCAUGAGUGCCAAUUAACGAAAGACAAAGAUGUUUGUAGGCAUCAAAAAAACACAUUUUUUAAAAAAAUGAGAAGAUGCAGUGUUUGUAAAUGUGUUUAAGCUUUCUUAUAUCAUCUUGCCGUCGUUAAAGGUUUUCCUUUCUCUUGGACAUUCUGGAAACCGCCUAACUAGCCUGGACCGUGCUGCAGUGUUGUAAUGCUGUGCCUUUGGACGCCGGCCGCUGAGUGAUUAGUUUUCUGGCGGGACUGUCAUUCCUUCUUAUUUACCCUGUAGCAAGCAGCCUCCAGACCAGGACUUGAACCAGGCUGAAAAGGUGUUUGCUGUAAGAGAAGGGUUAUCUUAUCCUACGCCCUUCCUUGGAAAAGUAGGCAUCAGAGCAGGCAGUGUCCUCACAACCCAUGGAUGAGCAAGUAAAUGCAUACGAAGACCUCUUCUCCAUGCUGACGUCAGCUUUUCUUCACAUCACUUUCAUGGGUUUGAGCCCCAGAUCUGAAUUGAGGACCUGUGUGCUCAGGCAUGGUGGGGAGAGAGAGAGACAGAGAGCGAGAGAAGUGACUGGACCUAAGUGGAGACUCCAACCAGACAUACGGAUAGAAGAUGAGCAGUCGGGGGCCAGGCUGGAAGGAAGGGAGCUUCAUGCCUGGAUGAUGACCCUUUAGGGCACACUGCCCUUCAUAAAAUAUGGACCAGAGAACUCCUUGGGCUCUGAUCAACCAGCUUGGUAAACUCUUUUUCCUUGUCUGGUGUUGGGGAAAUAUAAAAGUAUUGGUUAAGGCAAAAUCAUGGGGAGAAAGGCCAUAAGUGUUCCUUUUCCAUGUCUGCUGUCAAUUUAAAUCAAAACAUUAAAAUUUAAAAAUAUCUUUAAACUCGACUCCAACGAUCCUGUUUGGGGUAGAGUUGAGGUGAACUCUGCAAAGUGGAAGAAUGCAAAGCAGAGCAUGAAAGGGGCUAUAAUAGAAUUCAAAUUAUAUGGAGUUCCAGAGGAGAAAAAAAUACUUCCUUUUGACUGGGGAGACUCGAGGUGGCUUCACGAAGGGCAUGGUGUUUUAUGCGAGCUUGAAGGACAGUGAGAGUUUUGAUAGAAAUGAGCAAAAUGGGAUGGCUGUAAUAGCAUGAGAGGGCAAAAAUGCGCGGUGUGUUUGGUAGAAUGGUCAAUUUCAGAGGGACUGGAGUCAAAUGGCUGGUAAUCGGAGGGGCCAGGACUGGAUGCCAGUUGUGCUGACUUUCUGGGUAAUGCUCUCCCAGCUCUGCCAUACCCCUUGCAGCCUAGGAUAUUAUCCUGUUGCUCAGGAGGCCACAUACAACUUCUUCAGCCAUAAACUUGUUACAUGAGGCCUUUCCCCUUUGUCUCCUCUCCAGGUCCUUCCUGUAGAGAAGCACCUUCAUAAGGAUUAUUGUGGCUCAUGCCUUUUAUGUGCUUCACACCCAGAGAACCAGCUAUAAGUCUAGCCUCUCUUCUCUCUUUACCGUGUGGCUAGCAGACCUCUCUUUCCUAAGAAAAGCACAUAAGUGGGACAGUAUGGGGCCUGCGUAGGUGUUCAGCUGAGACAGUCAUUAUAGGCAUUCCUGAUACAAGUAGGUAGAGCUGUGGAGCUCCACCCGGCAGAACCCAAGGCCGAGAGUGGGGCAGCUUUGAGGAGGACCGUGAAGCCUGUCUCCAAAGCUAGGUUCAACCCAGAGUGUGGGGUGGUGGUGGAAGAACUGGAGGAGUUUGGAAACUGGGAUGCUUGAGGGUUAAGGGUCUGAGGCUCUGUGGGGUGCAUGGGGGCACUCAGAGGGCAUCUCUUUGGCACAGGCUGUCAGCAUAGGUCACAGAUUCCUAUGAGCUCACCCUUCACAUGAACCCCCUCCAGAAGGUCUGCAGAUAGAGCUAGUUUAUACCUGUUUAUGUGGUCCUGUCUUUACGGGAGAGUUUAUUCCCCUUUGGUAGUCUGGGCAGUCAGUGCAGGGGCCAAGAAGUUUGGGACUUGCAGAUUACUUAUGGAGCAAUGAGAGGCUUCCCUGGCCAUGGUGACAACCCAGGACAAUGAGGUCUGUGCUCCUCCCACCCUCUCUGUGUGGAGCCUGUCCCUGGGGUUCAUCCUCUUCCUAGCACAGAGGCCCUGAAGGAGAGCUCUGCUGUCACAGCCCAUGGGAUAAAGCCUUCAGGUUGACAAGUUUCCUUAGAGCUCCCUUCAUGUCCUUGUUCCUCAGGCAGUAGAUAAAGGGAUUCAGCAUGGGGGUGACCAGCAUCUACAUUACUGAAGCCAGAGAAUCCUUGUCAGCUGCGUGGGAGGAUGAGGGACUCAGGUAGACCCCUGUGAUGGUCCCAUAGAAGAGAAUGACCACAGCAAGGUGGGAGCCACAGGUGGAAAAGGCCUUUGGUUUGCCCCGGGCAGAUGGCACCUGUAGCACAGCAGACACAAUGUGGAUGUAGGAGACGAGAAUGCCAAGGAAGGGGAUGAGGACCGCCAGGUCCCCCUUCCAGCAGAAUCAUGAGUUGGUUGAGUUGGGUGUUGGGGCAGGAGAGCUGGAUCAGGGGAGCAAGGUCACAGAAGGAGUAAGGGAUGACGUUGCUGGCACAGAACUCCAGCCGGGCCAUGAGGAGGGUGGGUAGCAGGG